rnacentral:rRNA from 1 species
CGGGACGGGUGGGUAAUGUCUGGGAAACGUGCCUGAUGAGGGGGGAUAACUACUGGAAACGGUAGCUAAUACCGCAUAACGUCGCAAGACCAAAGAGGGGGACCUUCGGGCCUCUUGCCAUCGGAUGUGCCCAGAUGGGAUUAGCUAGUAGGUGGGGUAACGGCUCACCUAGGCGACGAUCCCUAGCUGGUCUGAGAGGAUGACCAGCCACACUGGAACUGAGACACGGUCCAG